rnacentral:rRNA from 1 species
GACGAACGCUGGCGGCGUGCUUAACACAUGCAAGUCGAACGAGGUCCAGUCCUUCGGGAGAAGACCUAGUGGCGAACGGGUGAGUAACACGUGAGCAACCUGUCCCAAAGACCGGGAUAAGCGAGGGAAACUUCGUCUAAUACCGGAUGCCCUCUUCGUGUCACAUGGCGUGAUGAGGAAAUGUUUUAUCGCUUUGGGAGGGCUCGCGGCCUAUCAGCUUGUUGGUGGGGUAACGCCACCAAGGCGUCGACGGGUAGCUGGUCUGAGAGGAUGACCAGCCACACUGGGACUGAGACACGGCCCAGACUCCUACGGGAGGCAGCAGGUGGGGAAUAUUGGACAAUGGGCGCAAGCCUGGUCCAGCCAUGCCGCGUGGAUGAUGAAGGCCCUAGGGUUGUAAAGUCC